AGCCGGCACAUGACCGACCUUCAACGUUGAAAUAUGGUUGAAAUAAGGUCAGUUGUGGUUUCAACGUUGAAACAACGUUGAUUCAACGUUUAAAGCUGAAUGGUUGAAAAACAUCCAGCACAUGACCAACUUUCAAUGUUGAAAUAUGGUUGAAAUAAGGUCAGUUGUGGUUUCAACGUUGAAACAACGUUGAUUCAACGUUUAAAGCUGAAUGGUUGAAAAACAUCCAGCACAUGACCAACUUUCAAUGUUGAAAUAUGGUUGAAAUAAGGUCAGUUGUGGUUUCAACGUUGAAACAACGUUGAUUCAACGUUUAAAGAUGAACUGUUGAAAAACUUCCAGCACAUGACCAACUUUCAACAUUGAAAUAUUGCUGAAAUAAGGUCAGUUGUUUUAAUGAAACAACGUUAAAAAUGUUUAAUGCUAAAUGGUAGAAAAAGGUUAACAAGCUUUUAAAUUAUUUAUAUUAAAUUAUUUAAAUUAAUUAAUUAUUUUAAUAGCAUUUUAAAAUAUUUUAGUCAUGAUACCUAUUCUAAAAUCUAAAGGUAUAUGUUAAAUAUUAUCAUCAUUAACAACAAUAAAACUAUAUACAUUUCGCUGCUUUAUCACACUGAAACAACUCCCAUUGGUAGUUUUAUUUUAUUACUUCUAUCAUGAUUGGUUAAUCUGGCUGUCAUUCAGGAAACUGGACAAUGAAUCAGUUCGCGCCUUUCUUCAUUUAAAAAUAUGACCGUUAUUGUCGUCUUUCUGUGAGUGAGGCGGCUAACUGUGAGCUGCUGCUCGUUAUAACUGACUGCUCUAUCGGUCCCGAAUUAUUUCAAAUUUGCCUGUACAUUUUUUAUUUAUUUUGAGCGAAUUUGAGUCGUGACAUGUCAAUGGAGAACAAAAACUGUGAACACAAGAAGGGUCAGGUGUUCUGCGAGGUCCUGAAAACAUCCUGGCAAAAUGAGAGUCAUCGAGGAUCCAGCUUGUUCUUGAAACAUUGAAGUUUGCCCUCUGCAAGUGAACGACGCCUUGUGGUGCCAUCCCAAAGAGGACGGUACAGAAAGUGCACAAGUGGGAGAGAGUGGAGGGGACGGCGUCAGAAAGGACCUAGCGCUGGGACACUUUCAAGGAUCACCCGAAGCACAACCACACUGUAUACACUAAGGCUGCUGGUUCUAACAUUUUAGAGUGCCCUGCGGUAGAAAUCUCAUUCUGCAUUCCCCACGGUAAAGAAGACACAGUCCGGGGGGGUUCCCAUUAGAAAUCAACUGGUUGAAGGUUCCCUGCUCGUACUGUGCAACACAUUUUCACGGCACAGAUGUGCACAACUUGAAAUGAGACACAUUACUAAAACAUGUUUUUGACAGAAACUGUAGUUUUCCACCAAAAUAAAAGAUCCACUGGUUUCAGUCAUAAAGGUACAAGGGUUUGUCUUGUAAGUGCUGAAAAAAAUAUGCAUUUUUGUGCCGAAUUAUUUUACAAAAACCUUUAAAUAUUAUUGUAUUUGGAUUAUUCUACUACAUGUUUUUAGCAUUACCUCCAUGCAUACUC